AUUGAACGCUGGCGGCAUGCUUUACACAUGCAAGUCGAACGGCAGCACGGGGGCGAACCCUGGUGGCGAGUGGCGAACGGGUGAGUAAUACAUAGGAACGUAUCCUGAAAUGGGGGAGUAGCUCGGCGAAAGCCGGAUUAAUACCGCAUACGAUCCACGGAUGAAAGACAGGGGAGUUCGCAAGAAACCUUGCGUUUCUGGAGCGGCCUAUGUCUGAUUAGCUAGUUGGCGGGGUAAAAGGACCCACCAAGGCGACGAUCAGUAGCUGGUCUGAGAGGAUGAUCAGCCACACUGGGACGUGAGACACGGCCCA
rnacentral:rRNA from 1 species